AUUUCUGACCCACACUUGAGAACAAACCUAUAUCAGCACCAAUAUAAACCGUGAAAGAGGAAAACAGACAUUCAACCAGUUUCAUUUUUCCUGUCAGAACACUGUUUCUACAUCCAGAGUUCCUCUGCGCUCAAGCUGUCCAUCAUGUGUCCAUCUUGUGACCAUCCACACCCCAGCCAACCAGACAUGGGACUAAUGAGUGAAGACAUGGAGUGCUGCGUCUGCCUCCAGUCCUACUCACGCAGGGACAAGAUCCCUCGAAUGCUUCACUGCAAGCACACCUUCUGUGGGCAGUGUCUCCAGGCGAUAUCCAGGCUCCAGAGUGGCCUGCUGAUGGUGUGCUGCCCACUGUGUCGCUGGAUCACAUGUACCAGGGCCAGUCUCCCCAUCGCUGGAUCCCUGUGGGUAAACACAGACAUCUGGGACAGGAUAACAGAAAGACAAGAGGAGGAGGAGAAGAAGGAGAAGGAGGAGAACUUGUGGAUGACAGAAAACAAACAGACACAGACCUCUACCCAGUGUGUAUGUCCGUCAUCGAGGAAUCGUAGCCUGUGGUCCAAGCUCAGGACUUUCCUGAGGAAACUGAGGUUAAAGAAUUCAAGAACACGUCAUUAAUCUGUUGUGGACUUUUCUUAGGACCUUUUUCAAGAACAAAUGUAAGACAAAAACGUAGGAAGAUGUUGGCGAAUGAGGCCCAAUGAGCUCAAACACAAAAGCAUGGCUAUGGUAUUUUUUAAGGAAGGCUGAACUCGACAUAUUAACCAUUAAUAUUCAAAAUCAUGCCUUUUUGUUUGGUUGUCAUUAAGGGGUUGAGGAAAGUUUCAAACAAAAUAUAAUCUACUCACGUACUGUAUCUUUCCAUGUAUCUUGAAGAAUAUCUAAAACAUUUCCUCUCUUUUCUGAACUAAUGAUUGCACUUAUCUGUUGGAUAGAUGAAUAGAUGACUGAUUGUCGGGAAGGUGUGUCAUUAAGAGUGUUUGAUGGGUGGUGAAGAAAGGACGAAAUGCAAUGAAAGUAAGCGAUAAGAAGGCUACAAUGUGUGUUCAAAUCUAAACAUGGGAGGUUUAAAUAAUGAGAUACGUACUCUUUAAAUCAACCACACACAUCGAAACGCAAGUCUUAGUUGUUGAUGGGAUUGUGUAAGUAAAAAAAAAGGAUUAGCAAAGUUUUAAAGUACCUCUAUCAUCUAUCUACUGUAACCAUCCAUCUAAAAUAAGUCCUCCAUUUUGUGAACUAAUACUUGCACUUAUAUUUUAGACAGAUGAACAGAUAAAUAGAUGACGGACAGGCAGACAGGCAGGCAGGCAGAGAGGCAGGCAGACAGACAGGCAGACAGACAGGCAGGCAGACAGGCAGGCAGGCAGACAGGCAGGCGUUAGACGAGUGGAUGAAUGAUACAGUUAGGGUGAAUUUGGGUAAUCUGGGAAACUUUUUGCAAUUUUGACUUCUGCGAUUUAUUCCGAUAUCUGUCUAACACGUUAGAUCAACACAUUAUACCUCUCUGAAAUCCCUAAGAGGUUUUCUAACCAAACCAGAGGAAAUAAUGUAGAUAUUAUUGUUAUUAGUGUUCUUUGUACCCAACAAAAAAUUAUCUGCCUGAAUUUGAUCAUUUGGGACAGGUCACUUGUGUUAGGCUUUUAAAAAAGCCUAAAUCUCUUUAUGUAUACCAAGAUCAAUAUCAUUUAUUUGUAAAAAUGUUAUUAAUUCAUAAACAAAGCUAUUUAUAGUUGAUCUACCAUGUUAAUAAAUGUAAAUUAAUUAUAGUAAAAUGUUAUAACAUUUCUUAUUUAAUCUAUUAAUAUUCAAGCAACAGUUUAAAGCAUUUUCAACACUUUAAAGCAUUUUUUGUUGCUUAAAUAGAUCACAAACAUAAUUUGACAACGACUAGCAACAUUGUCUUAUUUAUUUAUACCCUUAACAUUAUUCCCAUCUGAAUCCAAUGUCACUGACCUUUUCAUGCAAUUUCCAGGGUUGCAUCUGAUUUAACAUUAACUCUGUCCCAUUCUGUGAGAUCACCCCCAUGAUGUCAUGUGAUUUCAGUCAUAUGACAUCCAUACCAAACCUAUAGUAAAAGUCCUGUAAACUAUAUUUAGUUAGAACAGGAAAUAAACACACUGGAGCUUAGGUGUCCCACAUUACCCAAUGUCCCAGAUUACCCGAAUUCACCCAAUAAAACGUUAUAAGAUGAGGCUAUAACGUGUGAUAAAAUCCUGACCAUGAAAAGUUUCCAUAAUGAAGCAAGGUUGAAUCUCAUCAACCACUGGUGUUAUUUGUAUUUGUAUUGUUUUUUUAUUUGGAUCCACAUAAUGUGUGAAUACUGUGAACUUUGAAUCUGAUCUUGAAUUUGUACCAUACUAUGCCUAAAGUGUACUUAAUGCAAUACAAUAUACUGUAAAUAAAGGGAAAUAUGAUGUAUGUAUAUAAAUAUGGUGAACAAUGUUUGAAUAAAAUCCAUUCACUAACUGUAAGUUGCUCUGAAUAAGAACUUAAUUAUGAAAAUGUCAAUGUAAAAUAUAGAUAAUUUGUAAUGGUUUAAAUGAAGGGAAGAAGGAUUUGUUUAUAUUAAUAUGGCGCAUUUCUUUAUUGGAUUUAUUUUGAUCAAUGUAGAAUAAAUUGACUUUAAAAUAAUUAUGUUGUUGUGUAUUUGAAUUCAUUAUCAUUGUGUAUUUGAAUUCAUUACCAUUAGGAAAGUAUAGAUCUGUGUAUACUAUAGUAUAUUUAAUACUAUAGAAAAUAUUUUACCAAUAAAAAAAAUGCAAGCUAAAUUAAAAGCCGAAAUGACCAUUUUAAUCAAUUAUUUUAAAAUAGUGCACAUAUUGUCUCGUUUAAGUUGUUAAGUGAAAGUGAAAAUAUGUACUUUUAAUGGCUAAUAAAAAUUCUGC
ensembl:lncRNA